AGCUGACGAGUCUCAAAUAGGACGAAACGUGCGUCCU
rnacentral:hammerhead_ribozyme from 1 species